UCUCCGUAGGUGAACCCGCGGAGGGAUCAUUACUGAGUGAGGGCCUCUGGCCCGACCUCCAACCCUUUGAUGUCCGACUCUGUUGCCUCGGGGGCGACCCGGCCUUCGGGCCCGGGGCCCCCCGUGGUCCACUCAACUCUGCAUCUUUGCGUCUGAGUAAACAUUAAAUGAAACAAAACUUUCAACAACGGAUCUCUUGGUUCUG
rnacentral:misc_RNA from 1 species